GGGGUAAAAUUAAUGAUUUAAUAAUUAAUAAAAGAAAUUUUAAUAUUAAAAUAUAUUUAAUGGGGGUUAAAGUAUUUUUAAUUGAAAAAAUUUGAAAUUUUAUAGUUUAUUAGUAUUGUGAAAGAAUUUUGAAAUAAAAUUUGAAAAUAAAAUAAUUUAAAAGUAAAUUUAAUUUAUUGUAUCUUGUGUAUCAGAGUUUAUUAAAAAAUUUUUAUUAUUUUAAAUUUCUCGAAUUUAAAAGGGUUAAUUAAUUAAUAAAUUUAUUGUUUUAUAAAUAUUUUAAAUAAUUAAUUAGAAAUGAAAUGUUAUUCGUUUUUAAAUAUAUCUAGUUAUUUUAGAAAAAAAUUUAAUUUUUAAUUAAAUUUUAAAAUUAAUUUAUUGUUUAAUUAAUUUUAAAAUUUAAUUUAAUAUUUUAAGGGAUAAGCUUUAAUUUAAAAUUUUAUAAUUAAAAAUAAAUUAUUUGAAAAUUUUAUAAUUUAUAUUGUUAAUAAAUUUUAAUUUAUUAUAAAUAAUUUCAUAAAUAAUAAAAUUUAAUUAAAAAUUUAAAUUUUUAUAAAAAAAUUUUUUAUAAUAAAAAAAAAUUAUUAAUAAUGAUAAAAUUAGUAUAUAAAUAUUUAAUUUAUUUAAUAUAUUAAUUUUUGGGAAUUAUUUUAAAGGAAUUCGACAAAUAUAUAUAUUCACCUGUUUAUCAAAAACAUGUCUUUUUGAUUAAUAAUUAAAAGUCUAAUCUGCCCACUGAUAAUAAUAUUAAAGGGCUGCAGUAUAUUGACUGUACAAAGGUAGCAUAAUCAAUAGUCUCUUAAUUAGUGACUUGUAUGAAAGAUUGGAUGAAAUAUAAAUUGUCUCUAUAAUAUUUAUUGAAUUUAAUUUUUUAAUUAAAAAGUUAAAAUUUUUUAAAAAGACGAGAAGACCCUAUAGAGUUUUAUAUUUAUUUGAUUUUUAAAAUUUUAAUGAAUUGUUUAUUUUAAAAUAGAUUAAAUAUUUUAUUGGGGUGAUAAAAAAAUAAGAAUAACUUUUUUUUAAAUUAAACAUAAAUAAAUGAAUUUUUGAUCCAAUAUUAUUGAUUAUAAGAAAAAAUUACCUUAGGGAUAACAGCGUAAUUUUUUUUUUUAGUUCGUAUAAAAAAAAAAGUUUGCGACCUCGAUGUUGGAUUAAGAUAAAAUUUAAAUGCAAAAGUUUAAAAUUUUGAUCUGUUCGAUCAUUAAAAUCUUACAUGAUCUGAGUUCAAACCGGUGUAAGCCAGGUUGGUUUCUAUCUUUUAAAAUAUUUUAUAUUUUAGUACGAAAGGACCAAAUAUUAUAAUUAAAUUAAUUAAUUGGAAUAUUAUUAAUUAUAUAAAUAAAUUUG
rnacentral:rRNA from 1 species